rnacentral:rRNA from 1 species
ACACGACUACAUUAGAUACCCGUGUAGUCCUAGCCGUAAACGAUACUCGCUAGGUGUCGGCCACGGUGCGACCGUUGUCGGUGCCGUAGGGAAGCCGUGAAGCGAGCCACCUGGGAAGUACGGCCGCAAGGCUGAAACUUAAAGGAAUUGGCGGGGGAGCACAACAACGGGUGGAGCUUGCGGUUUAAUUGGAUUCGACGCCGGAAAUCUUACCGGGACCGACAGCAACAUGAAGGCCAAGCUGAAGACUUUGCCGGAUUAGCUG